CUCGCCAGGUGUUGGAGCUGUCAAGUAAUUAACCUAACGGUUUCUACCAAACUCCAUGUACCUGGGUUUAUUUUCUAACCCAUAACGGAUGAAACUCGGUUCAAAGAGGAUUUGAUGAUUUUCUCCUCCCAACUUCGCGGUAGUUCCUUCACUCCAGGAGGAGGAGAAGUACUGUGAAACAAAGAUGACUCCCACCUCUCCACUGGGUCCCUGAGCAUGACGAUGAAGCGGGCGUCAGGCUGCAGGGCAUGCACAAAGUCCUGGAUGAGAAAAGGAGGCUCUCCUUCUGUGGUGUUGUCAUAGAAAUACACCCAGGCAUUGUUAUCCCACAUGGUGGACGCGCUGGCUUCUCCUGCAGAACACACAGCCCACUGAGACAUCCUUGGCAGGGUUGGAUGGAGGAGGAAUACCUAUUGUCCCAAUCAGACACGACAUCAUAGAGUCUACAUUGCUUUUGCAGAUUUAACCAUUCAAGGGAGACGCUGUAAUAGGGCAAACAAACGGCGGAGCCAGACCGGCGUGCCUCUGGUGUUGGCCGGCGGUUGAAGAGAGUCAGAAGCCGAGAUCCUGGCCACAGGCCUGCACCUUGCUGCGCUCUCUCAGGGCAUGGUGGGAAUACUGAGUGGAGUUUUGGCACACUCCCCCAACUCUUGCAAAGAUUAUUUAUUUUAAGAAGGAAACAAAACAGGGCGGCAUGCUAAGCUGCACUCAAUACAGCAACUCAAAACCAGCAUGAAAAGGCUUUUGUUGGAAAUCAGUUUUUUUUUGCAGCUGAACAGUUCUUCUCAAGGUUUUGUUUGACAACAGGGACAGAAAGAGAAGGAUACAAGGAAGUGGCUGAAAAUACAGGUAUAAUUUGACAGUAAAUGCAAAAUAUCUUGACUUUAAGUUAGGUUUACAACUUUAAACAUAGAGUCUCUUAUGUAGAUCAGAGCACGAUACAUUUCUGUCAGGAUCACUUAGUCAAGAAACACACAUAGUUUGCAGUUACAUUUUCAGAUGCAGAAUAAAAGAGGAGAUAGGGUGGAGGAGGGUUGCAAAAGCAGCUUGCAGAGGGAGAACCAAAGAGAAUGCAUGCCAGAGAAGCUUAAAUAUGGCAGUAGGAGUGCAUUUAGCCAAUAGGGAGCUUAGCCUGAAUCAGCUGGCUCCAUUGAUGAGGGCUUGCAUGAGAUCAGCUGAUCUCAAUGAAAUUGCAGAACUUGACACCAUGGCCUGCCUGAUCAAAACUAUAUGCUCAAUUUCAGCUAAAUUUCAUGAAUUUCCUACACGUUUCAGGAGCUGAUUGAGCCACCUUGCCAUGGCUGUUCACAAAAUUAGACCAAUCUUGUAAUUUCCUAGUGGGGUCAUGUCUAACAAAUUACUCAACUGUAUGCAUAUUUUAAAACCCUUAGAAAACAACGUCCUUUUACAAGGCUAACAAUACUUUUACAACGGCACUGGUUUAAUGCAAACGGUAAUGAGGCUUGUAAGGGUGUAUGCAAGGACAACAGAUGUGAGGGACUGGUAAACUCAGUGAUACAUUGUCAUCCGUCCCACUGGUCAGCACCAGAAUUACCUGUUAGUUAAAGAUGUAUUAUUACUUUUAUAAAUACUGGCCCACAACGCCAGGCAAAUGCAAAGCACGCUAUGCAGCUGGUCCAUAGUGGGCUUAUGCUUUGGUUGAUGAUUUCUGCCAUAUUGCUAUUGCAGGUCUACUACUGAGGCAGAAACCAGCAUCAGGAUGGAUGGCUUCUCAGAGGGCAGUAUCGCAAUAUUUCGAUUGGGUAUGCGUGUGGGUAGCUGACUAAUGGUUAUAUUUGUAUAUUGAAUUAGCUGAUGCAUGAUUUACAAGUUUGUUGGACUAAUUACCUAUCGUUUUUUUAAAAACAUCAGCCUGAAAUCCCAUUUAAAUGUUCUUUAAAAACUGUCAUGAAGCCUCCCUUUACUGGCAGUCGCUGUGACUUCAGUUAAUGGCCGCUGCCUUCCUGACAGAGCUUAGCAGUUUGCAUUUCAUUGGAACAAUGCAGUUUGACAGUUUUUGUAAAACUGAAAAAUGGAAAGUUGUAUGUAGGCUGUCGAAGGUUAUACUCAUGUAUAACUACUCCACAAAAAUGAAAAAAGGCCAACUAUCAAAGCAUGAUAUUGUUCUGCAAGAGUAACGGAGGUUGGUGGAGCUAGUUGCUAAUUUUAACCACGCUCUACACAGCAUAUCCGGCACAUCAUACCUAUUGACACAAAGACCACUUGAUGAAUUUGAUUGUUUUCUAGACUAGUCUAGACUAGUCAGUUAAAUGCAAUUUAAAUGGCAUUUAGCUGAAUAGGGAAAGAAAUGCUUUGAAACAUCCUUAAAUUUGAUGCAGAACCAAAGCAGGUAUUUCUGGCAGAACUUCACCAACUUCCAAGGCAAACAGCACUAUAAGUUUAAAGAAGAACUUUAUUAGACUGAUGAAUUUUAGCUUCGGCCUUCAAUAGGGUCAUGUUUAACUGGUGGAAAGGCCAAAGGGUGGCAAUGCAGUUGCCACUACCUUUAGCUUAACUAAGCAAACCAAUUUGGUAUUGUUUAACUGCAGACACUGCAAGCCUGUUUUAGCCAUGUAACUGUUAAUAAACAUUAACAUUACAUUUUUCUCUUUUUUGUCUCUCCUCUUUCUAGACAAGUAGAGAAGUUCCAGUUUAAAUUUGCAUUAAUCAACUAUAAAAUUAGUCAUCUAGGAACUUCUCAUUACAGCAAUAGGAUAGGUUUGGAUGAAACACCCCCACCUCCACUGCAGAUAUUAUUGCCCAGAAACAAAUAACACCAGUAAUUCUUUUUCUGCAGCACUUCAAUAAAGUGUCCGUAAGUGAAGCAGAGGGAGAUCCAGUGUUAUUAAGCUGUUCCAGCCUCUCUUUAGGGUUGAGUCACAGUCAGCUCUG